rnacentral:lncRNA from 1 species
UUUUUUUCCUAAGUUUUUGGUAAAAUUUGAAUUUCAAGUAAGUUAGAAGUCAGCUAUCUGCCUCUGCUCUGUGUUCAAGUACUCUUGUAGGUUAGGGCAUUUGCAGUGCUACAUGGGUGAGCAUACCUUGUGUACAGAUUUUUACUCAAGCUGCAUCAAGCCCUAUAUCUCUCGAGUCAUUUCAUUUAUACUCCUACAUAACU